rnacentral:rRNA from 1 species
CUUACCAUGCAGUCGAACGAACUCUUCGGAGUGAGUGGCGGACGGGUGAGUAACGCGUGAGAAUCUGCCUGUGGGUCGGGGACAACCACUGGAAACGGUGGCUAAUACCGGAUGAGCCGAAAGGUAAAAAAUUUAUUGCCCACAGAUGAGCUCGCGUCUGAUUAGCUAGUUGGUAAGGUAAAAGCGUACCAAGGCGACGAUCAGUAGCUGGUCUGAGAGGAUGAGCAGCCACACUGGGACUGAGACACGGCCCAGACUCCUACGGGAGGCAGCAGUGGGGAAUUUUCCGCAAUGGGCGAAAGCCUGACGGAGCAAGACCGCGUGGGGGAGGAAGGUUUUUGGAUCGUAAACCCCUUUUGUCAAGGAAGAAGUUCUGACGGUACUUGACGAAUAAGCCUCGGCUAACUCCGUGCCAGCAGCCGCGGUAAUACGGAGGAGGCAAGCGUUAUCCGGAAUGAUUGGGCGUAAAGCGUCUGUAGGUGGCCAGCUAAGUCUGCUGUUAAAGAUCACAGCUCA